rnacentral:rRNA from 1 species
UCGAGAAUCUUCCGCAAUGGACGAAAGUCUGACGGAGCGACGCCGCGUGAUGGACGAAGUGCUUCGGCACGUAAACAUCUUUUAUGUGGGACGAAAUUAUUGACGGUACCACAGGAAUAAGGGGCUCCUAACUCUGUGCCAGCAGGAGCGGUAAUACAGAGGCCCCAAGCAUUACCCGGAAUCACUGGGCGUAAAGGGUGUCGAGGCGGCUAUGUUAGUCUUCCGUAAAAUCCGUGGGCUCAACCUACGGUCGGCGGGGGAAACGGCAUAGCUUGAGAGCAGGAGAGGUGCAUGGAACUCACGGUGUAGGGGUGAAAUCCGUUGAUAUCGUGGGGAACACCAAAGGCGAAGGCAGUGCACUGGCCUGUUUCUGACGCUCACACACGAAAGCCAGGGGAGCGAACGGG